GAUGAAGAACGUAGCGAAAUGCGAUAAGUAAUGUGAAUUGCAGAAUUCAGUGAAUCAUCGAAUCUUUGAACGCACAUUGCGCCCGCCAGUAUUCUGGCGGGCAUGCCUGUCUGAGCGUCAUUUCAACCCUCAUGCCCCUAGGGCGUGGUGUUGGGGAUCGGCCAAAGCCCGCGAGGGACGGCCGGCCCCUAAAUCUAGUGGCGGACCCGUCGUGGCCUCCUCUGCGAAGUAGUGAUAUUCCGCAUCGGAGAGCGACGAGCCCCUGCCGUUAAACCCCCAACUUUCCAAGGUUGACCUCAGAUCAGGUAGGAAUACCCGCUGAACUUAAGCAUAUCAAUAAGCGAGGA
rnacentral:misc_RNA from 1 species